AUUUAUUGAGCGCUUAUUCUGUGCCAGGCACUGUGUUAAGCGUUUUGCAGGCAACAACCCUCGGAGCCCUGAGAGGAGCAUACCAUUAUUCUCCUUUUGAUAGAAGAGGCCACAAGACUGGUAAAUGGCAAUCUGGGCAUCCACCAGGAGGAUCUAACUUUAAUGCCAUGUUCCCAUCACCGGAAUGUACAAGCUGAUCCAACUGAACAGAAGAGGAACUGAUGUCCAGAAGUAGGCAGCCCAGGCUGGUACAGUAGCCCCGUGACCAUCAGGGACUCAGGCCCCUUCUACCUGGGGCUCUCCAUCGUCAGCGCAUGCCUUCCACUAGUGACCCAAGACAGCCAAUGGAGGAAGAAGCA